rnacentral:lncRNA from 1 species
AUUUUAAUGAUCUGAUUAUUUAGCAUGAAAACCACUCUUACUUUCAUGCUCCAGGGUUUGAUCCAAUUAAGCUGCAGCACUUUCCUAUAGAGAGGCACGCAGCUGCAGGGAGGGAUGGAAAGUAAUUUCUGCAGCUGAGCUUAAAGUCUGGGAGUUAGAGCAGUCUCCUUCGAAGGGAAAAAGCAGUCAGGAUCUCUCUCAGGGAGAUCCCUUCUAACUUCCCUAGCAUGAGCAAGAGAUCUAAACAGAAAGCAACUGCAUGAGUAAUUCUUUGACCCACAAAGAAAUAUCAUCUACUGAUGAAUUUUGAGUAGGAUGCAAUUCUGCUGAUGUUGAUUGGUAAGUUCUAACAUGAUGUGAUCUGAAAAAACUGAGCCCCAUAGGCAAAUAUAGUUAAGUAACUCCUGUUUUACAUCUACACCUGUACGAUUGCUGAUGUUCAUAUUCAGACUUAAGUUGUUGACUUGAAUCACUCUGCUCAUGACAACUCAGUCUCUACAGUUUUCCAAUGGGAAUGACCUUGGCCUUUCCAUCUCUCCCAGAAGCACUGCAAACAGGAUGGGCAAGCAAGGCAUGGGAUAUCAGUUGGGAAACAGUGCAGACCUCAAAGACAGUUUAAUUCUAACCUCCAUACAGUGGGCACAUAUACCUUCCUCCAGACCAGGUUGCUCAAAGCCCCAUCAAACCUGAUCUUGAACACCUCUGGGGAUGGGACAUGCACAGUUUCUCUGGGCAGCCUGUGCCAGUGCUUCACCGCAUCCAUGGUAAAGAUUUUCUUCCUAAUAUUUAAUCUAAAUCUACCCACUUUUAAUUUAAAGCCAUUAUUCCUUGCCCUAUCACCACAACCUCUUGUAAAAGUCCUCACCUUUCCUGUAGGCUCCCUUAAGGUACUGGAAGGCUACUGUAACAUCUUGCAGCCUUCUUUUCUCCAGGCUGAAUGAUCCCACCUCUCUCUCUCUUCAUGGAAGAGGUACUCCAGCCAUUUGAUAAUCACUGUGGCCCUCCUCUGGACUUACUCCAGUAAGUCUUACUGGGCAAGAAGAAACAUCAGAAAGUACAUUUAAAUCUGGAAUCACUUCCACGGUCUGGCUGCUCAUAUUGUGCAAACUGAAAAGCAGCAUUUCCAUUUUGCAGAAAUGAGGACAUCGUCACUGUGGAAAUAGCUAAGGAGGGAGAAAAUGAGCUGACACGUGUGACUUGAAGGAGAAGUUGUGUUCAGAACAACGUUGCGUUCCCUGGAGGUCUCGUGACCAAGGAGAGCAAUGAGGCAUUGAAUAGUGUUCAGGUGUUUUAUUGCAGUGUCUCAAGCUGUAUAACUCAGUGUUAAAAGACUGGAUUUUGGGGGUGGGGGGGGGGGGGAUAUUUUACAAAGCCUGGGCAUGGUGUGCAUUUGUGUGUCAGAAAAUUCUAAAUUCAGACUGCUCACAGUGAAAUCUCUUGGAAAAAAUGUAUUUAGACUUCUGGCAACCUGAAGAGACAGCUUCAGGACAGGUGGUCUGGGGCUGCUGGGCUGCAAAUCCUCAUCUCACGGGAAAGGGGGAGGCAAAGAGCCUGUUCCAAGCAGACAGGCCAAAAGAAGCAAAUGAGCCAUAAACUAAUCAAAUGAGGAAAAACUAAGAGAAUAUAGAUCCAGCCUGCUAUGACACACAUGCAACAGCUGAGGAAGCUUCCCGCAGGCACAAUGAUUUUAAAACACAAAAAUCCCCAGCUGAUUUUUCAUCACCAACAAGUAAAUGCUCCUAAUGAAUCUGGCCCUUAUCUCAGUUAGCAGUUCUGCAAGGCAAUCUAUAUAAUCCAUUACUUCUGAGUCAUUUUUAGC